rnacentral:lncRNA from 1 species
GACACUAUAUAAUUUUUGUACUUUAUGUUUUUGGGCGAUGUACUUGUGGAGAGCAUAUAUUUAAUUGUAGUGGUGGGGAACAUAAAAAUAAUUGUAAGAUAUUGGUAAAAUGGUGAAUAUAUUUUGGUCCUUCAUUCUAUUUGGAGGUUGUUCUUCACUGCCUUUUUCUCGUUUCGAAUAAAUUUAUUUAUUAAAAAAUAAGACAAAAAGACACUAACCCCACAUCAACCCUAAGGAGUUACCAGGGUUUAUCCAGGUGCUGUCAGAC